GCAAGUCGAAUGGGUUUAGACCCAUGGCAGACGAGGUAGGAACAGGUAGGUACGUACCCUAAAGUCGGGGAUAACCCGGAGAAAUCCGGAGUAAUACUCGAUGGUCUCGAAAGAGUAAAGAUUUAUCGCUUUAGGAACGGCCUGCUUUCUAUCAGCUUGUUGGUAAGGUAACGGCUUACCAAGGCUACGACGGAUAGGGGAGGUGAGAGCCUGACC
rnacentral:rRNA from 1 species